GGGCGAUUAGCUCAGUUGGUUUAGAGCGCUGUCUUCACACGGCAGAGGUCACUGGUUCGAAUCCAGUAUCGCCCACCA
rnacentral:tRNA from 1 species